rnacentral:rRNA from 1 species
UACGUAGGUGGCAAGCGUUGUCCGGAUUUACUGGGCGUAAAGAGCGCGCAGGCGGUCGUUCAAGUCGCGUGUGAAAGCCCCCGGCUCAACUGGGGAGGGUCACGCGAUACUGAUCGACUCGAAGGCAGGAGAGGGUAGUGGAAUUCCCGGUGUAGUGGUGAAAUGCGUAGAUAUCGGAAGGAACACCGGUGGCGAAAGCGGCGCGCUGGACCUCUUCUGACGCUGAGGCGCGAAAGCCAGGGGAGCGAACGGG